GCCACUGGGAGGUUUUGAAUCCUUCUGGUUAUUUUAUGUGGAAUGAAGUGGGCUGGAGAGCUUAGAAUGGAAGAAGAAGAGACUAGUGGGAUGACUAUUGCAACAGUUCAGAUAAAUUCAGAGACCGUGAGUUUGAAUGGGACUUUCAAGCAGGAAAUGAAAUGUAUGAUGUUACUUGAGACCUUCCGAUACUUAAAUUCUGCAAAAUAAGGGUCUUCUUUCCACUUGGUUACUGUAUGAUGACUGGAAGAAAAUUCUCAACUAUACAUUUUAACUACUAAAAAUGUUAUUCAUGUUAUU